rnacentral:tRNA from 1 species
GGCUCUGAGGUGUAAAACAUAUUGAAUUGCAAAUUCAAAGAAGCAGCUUCAAUUCUGCCGGGGCCU